rnacentral:rRNA from 1 species
UCAUUAACGAAUAACUAUGGUGUCUUGGUUGUAGCUGGCUCCUCGGAGCAUUGUGCACGCCCGCCAUUUUUAUCUUUCCACCUGUGCACCGACUGUAGGUGUCUGGAUAACCCUCGUCUUCCUCUCCGGAAGGCGGAUGCGAGGAUUGCCCGUGAGGGCUCUCCUCGAAUUUCCAGGCUCCUACGUCUUUUACACACCCCGACAGUAUGAUAUAGAAUGAUAGUCAAUGGGCUUUCACAGCCUAUAUAACACUAUACAACUUUCAGCAACGGAUCUCUUGGCUCUCGCAUCGAUGAAGAACGCAGCGAAAUGCGAUAAGUAAUGUGAAUUGCAGAAUUCAGUGAAUCAUCGAAUCUUUGAACGCACCUUGCGCUCCUUGGUAUUCCGAGGAGCAUGCCUGUUUGAGUGUCAUUAAAUUCUCAACCUCACCAGUUUUCUGAACUGCGUCGAGGCUUGGAUGUGGGGGUUUGUGCAGGCUGCCUCAGCGCGGUCUGCUCCCCUGAAAUGCAUUAGCGAGGUUCAUACUGAGCUUCCGUCUAUUGGUGUGAUAAUUAUCUACGCCGUGGACAGGGUUCAGACUCGCUUCUAACCGUCCCUCGGGACAAUACCCAUGACAAUUUGACCUCAAAUCAGGUAGGACUACCCGCUGAACUUAAGCAUAUCAAUAAGCGGAGGAAAAGAAACUAACAAGGAUUCCCCUAGUAACUGCGAGUGAAGCGGGAAAAGCUCAAAUUUAAAAUCUGGCGGUCUUUGGCCGUCCGAGUUGUAAUCUAGAGAAGUGUUACCCGCGUCGGACCGUGUACAAGUCUCCUGGAAUGGAGCGUCAUAGAGGGUGAGAAUCCCGUCUUUGACACGGACUACCGAGGCUUUGUGGUGCGCUCUCAAAGAGUCGAGUUGUUUGGGAAUGCAGCUCAAAAUGGGUGGUAAAUUCCAUCUAAAGCUAAAUAUUGGCGAGAGACCGAUAGCGAACAAGUACCGUGAGGGAAAGAUGAAAAGAACUUUGGAAAGAGAGUUAAACAGUACGUGAAAUUGCUGAAAGGGAAACGCUUGAAGUCAGUCGCGUCGUCCGGGAAUCAGCCUUCCUUCUGGUUGGUGUACUUCCUGGUCGACGGGCCAGCAUCAGUUUUGACCGGUGGAAAAAGUUCGAGGGAAGGUGGCACCUCCGGGUGUGUUAUAGCCCUCGUUCGUAUACAUCGGUUGGGACUGAGGAACUCAGCACGCCGCAAGGCCGGGAUUCGUCCACGUUCGUGCUUAGGAUGCUGGCAUA